AUAUCUUUCUCAAAACAAGAAAGAGUAUGCUGCCAAGAAGACCUCCCCGCGCCCAUAAUCAGAAGGAAGAUAUAACUCUAAGGGAGGAAAGGAAUAAAAUAUACGUUCUGCAUAAGGAAAGUUGACCACGUCCUUUCCCGAAAAAAAUCUAGGUUGUCUUGCAUAUAAAAGGGGGAGGUCUCGGUCAACAAGGGGGGGCUUUUCUUUUGGGAUCUGAUCACACACAAGAAACACGAGAGAUACACGUACGUGAGGUUAGAGAGAGAAGAGGUCUCUCGGCCAAACACCUUCUGGCCGAGACUCCUUCUUCGGCGCCACCCCUUACCAGCUGACCGCCGCUCUUUCCACGACGGCAAGUUGUUCUGAUCUACCCCUACGCGCUUGACACUGACCUUGACGACAUUUCUGUUCACCGUCCGACGACGAAGCAGCCUUGCCGAGCCUUACUGACGAACAGCCAGCCACCUCAGGCUCGAACAUCUGCACCGACAACGCUGCUUGCUGCUUCGUUCCAUCGCGAGCUGCCUUUCUUGUGGUGUCGUCGUUGAUCCAGUUCGCCGACGCCUCUGCACUACCGUGACCAGCCAAUGACUACGCCCAGUCCUAGCCGCUCGAUGACGUCUCUGCUCCAGUAAUCAGUCGGGAACGCGCUGCUCCGUUCCGCAACAGUUUGAGCCAAUGGUGACGAACUUGCUGUGCCGCGAAGCCAUUGAGCAUCACCCACUGCCACCCAAGCUGUUGUUCUACACCUUUGCAGCGUUUGUAGCGUUGUGUUUCAUCGUGUUGACCAGUGAAGUCAGCAAUUUUGUGUGAACUCCAGCAACGUCCAGCAAAUUCGCGAGUGUCCGCGGAGUGAAGCCACCAUCAAGUCCGCCAUCAUCCGCCGGUCCUGUUUCGGAAGCGAAUCAUCCUAACUAGGUCAUUUUCUCGAGCCAAAUUUGGUCUCCAUAUUUCAUUUAUCUAAAUUGGGUUAUUUGAUGCUAAUGUGAUUUUGAGUGAUCAGAGCAUUAUCUAACUAGGAUUUUAUUGCGUAUGAAAUCAAAUCUAAAAAAAAAGGGUGCCUCGCUUAAUUUAAAAACUACAAUUUAACUGAAUAUUCUUUGGAAAUCUUGGAUGUGUAUUACUUGUCAAAUUUGGAUAGAUUUUGAAAAUUUCAAAAUCUUUUGAAUAUAUCCAAGAUAUUCAAGAUAGCAAAAUCUUUUCAAGAUGUGAUCGGUUAGGAAAAUCUCCUAAUCCGCAACUGCACACAUGGGAAUAAGUCUAUCUAUCAGGCUUUAGAUAGAGUUAUUUCCAUAGCGGGUAUUUCGAAUUUUUAGGGUCGAUUUGUCAAGCUUCAGAUCGAAACUUAAUUCGAAAGAUUUAGCGGUUAUAAUCUUUCUACUAAAAGAUUUGUGACUUGAAUUUAAAUUUAAAA